CCUACGGGAGGCUGCAGUGGGGAAUAUUGGACAAUGGGGGGAACCCUGAUCCAGCCAUGCCGCGUGUGUGAAGAAGGCCCUCGGGUUGUAAAGCACUUUCAGUGAGGAAGAACGCCUGGUGGUUAAUACCCAUCAGGAAAGACAUCACUCACAGAAGAAGCACCGGCUAACUCCGUGCCAGCAGCCGCGGUAAUACGGAGGGUGCGAGCGUUAAUCGGAAUUACUGGGCGUAAAGCGCGCGUAGGUGGCUUGAUAAGCCGGUUGUGAAAGCCCCGGGCUCAACCUGGGAACGGCAUCCGGAACUGUCAAGCUAGAGUGCAGGAGAGGAAGGUAGAAUUCCCGGUGUAGCGGUGAAAUGCGUAGAGAUCGGGAGGAAUACCAGUGGCGAAGGCGGCCUUCUGGACUGACACUGACACUGAGGUGCGAAAGCGUGGGAAGCAAACAGGAUUAGAUACCCGAGUAGUC
rnacentral:rRNA from 1 species